GUGAAUGUCCUUUUAUGGCACAUGUGGGAAAUUCAAAGCUGGCAAAUCCCCAGCUGUCACUUGGGACUAUUUCUCCAGUCCCACCCCCUUGCUACUAUAUAGGCCCAACCCACAGAGGCCUGCUGAGACCUGCUUGUACCCUCAUUCCCAUUUCAGGAAUCCCUUGUGUGAAUAACAAGUUUUCUUCCAAAUUAUUUAGUUAUGUAGAGUGCCAUUGGCAUCAACAUCCUACCUAUUGACUGGGAAAGGUAACAUUCUGCCUUCUUGGGAUAAAUAUAAAGCAAGGGCCAGAAGAGACACAUUGGCUACUUUGACAACCUUAAAGCAGACUCCAGGAAUAUCACCAACAGUAUGACCUUUGUGACCAAAUCCAGCAUCCAAAACUUCAUCAUUUUCCUCAAUAAAGUUCAAGCAACCGUCGUUGGGUACAAAGGCUGUGAUUUUCUUGCCAUUCUUGAUCAGCUGGACCCUGAUACACUUCCUAAUGGCAGAAUUUGGCUGUUUGGCUUCAACUCCUACUUUUCCAGGACGAUUCCUUUUGCAUGAGAAGCACCUCCAAAAGGGUCUGCUACAGUUUGCUGGGGGUCCACUUCAGACCCUGUUCACCUGGGUAUCACCAGUGGAGGCUGCAGAACAGCAAAGAUUGCUGCCUGCUCCUUCCUCUUGAAGUAUCCUCUCAGAGAGGCACCAACCUGAUGUCAGCAGGAAUUCUCGUAUAUGAGGUGUCUGUUGACCCCCGUUCGGAGAUCUCAUCCAGUCAGGAGGCACUGGAUCAGGUACCUGCUUAAGGAGGCAGUCUGAA
rnacentral:lncRNA from 1 species